rnacentral:rRNA from 1 species
GAUGAACGCUGGCGGCGUGCCUAAUACAUGCAAGUCGAGCGAACGGACGAGAAGCUUGCUUCUCUGAUGUUAGCGGCGGACGGGUGAGUAACACGUGGAUACUCUACCUAUAAGUCUGGGAUAACUUCGGGAAUCCGGAGCUAAUACCGGAUAAUAUUUUGCACCGCAUGGUUCAUAAGUGAAAGACGGUCUUGCUGUCACUUAUAGAUGGAUCCCCGCUGCAUUAGCUAGUCGGUAAGGUAACGGCUUACCAAGGCAACGAUGCAUAGCCGACCUGAGAGGGUGAUCGGCCACACGGGAGGUGAGACACGGUCCUGACUCCUACGGGACGCAGCAGUAGCGAAUCUAACGCAGUGGGCGAAAGCCUGACGAAGAAACGCCGCGUGAGUGAUGAAGGUCUUCAGAUCGUAAAGCUCUGUUAUUAGGGAAGAACAUAUGUGUAAGUAGCUGUGCACAUAUUGACGGUACCUAAUCAAAAAGCCACGGCUAACUACGUG